rnacentral:rRNA from 1 species
GGGGAAUAUUGCACAAUGGAGGAAACUCUGAUGCAGCAACGCCGCGUGAGUGAUGAAGGUCUUCGGAUUGUAAAACUCUGUCUUAUGGGACGAUAAUGACGGUACCAUAGGAGGAAGCCACGGCUAACUACGUGCCAGCAGCCGCGGUAAUACGUAGGUGGCAAGCGUUGUCCGGAAUUACUGGGCGUAAAGGGUGCGCAGGCGGACAUUUAAGUGAGAUGUGAAAUCCCCGGGCUUAACUUGGGGGCUGCAUUUCAAACUGGAUGUCUAGAGUGCAGGAGAGGAAAGCAGAAUUCCUAGUGUAGCGGUGAAAUGCGUAGAGAUUAGGAAGAAUACCAGUGGCGAAGGCGGCUUUCUGGACUGUAACUGACGCUGAGGCAUGAAAGCGUGGGGAGCAAAC